rnacentral:misc_RNA from 1 species
CGCGAGCGGAGAGCUUAAGUACGGCAGGGACGGGCUUCGUACAGGUAGUACGUCUUUUGUAUGAGCAACGAGAUCAAUCUCACAAGACUUUAAUAUGUCUGUCAUGAGAGAUGAACAGUAUGGACUCUAUGAGGACAAAAACAACAAGCGAAGUAUAACUAACGGGAGAACUCGCACGCUAAGCUGCGAUGCGGACUUUCCCUCAGCGCCAGGAAGGUUACAUAGUGUUGAUGAAGAAAAUCAAAACGAAGAGAAGGAACGUCUCUGUGAAAUGACAGACGCAUAUACACAUUUACUAAAAGGGAUUGGUGAAGACGUUUCAAGAGAAGGUUUGUUAAAAACCCCUGCCAGGGCAUCAAAAGCAAUGUUGUUCUUCACAAAAGGUUAUGAAGAAAAGAUUCAAGAUGUCCUAAAUGAUGCCAUAUUCGAUGAAGAUCAUGAUGAGAUGGUGAUAGUCAAAGACAUUGAAAUGUUUUCCAUGUGUGAACAUCAUCUGGUGCCUUUUAUUGGGAAGGUCUCUAUAGGUUAUUUGCCAAACAAAAGAGUCCUUGGACUUAGUAAACUUGCGAGAAUAGUAGAAAUUUUCAGUAGAAGAUUACAAGUUCAAGAAAGAUUGACAAAGCAAAUUGCAGUUGCAUUAACGGAAGCCAUACAACCAGCUGGCGUAGGAGUGGUAAUUGAAGCAACGCAUAUGUGCAUGGUUAUGCGUGGGGUACAGAAGCUCAACAGUAAAACUAUCACCAGUACUAUGCUUGGAGUAUUCAGAGAAGAUCCCAAGACCAGAGAGGAGUUUUUAACCCUUACAAGAACAUAGAAAUGGUAUAUUUUAUUGUUUAGGUACAAGAUUGCCAGUUAAUGUUGUCAGAAAUCUACUAGUACCCUUUCAAGUGUAUUCUUUAUACGGUAUAUAGUGAAACUUUACAUCAAAACCCUAUUAAGGAGAUGAAAGUUAUGAAUAAACAGCCAAAGCAUUCAACAAAUGAUUGGCUGUCUGGUUUUUAAGCAGCCAUAGAAGAAUAGGUUGCAGCAUUUUCUUUCUGUGUUAAUCAUGUAAAGAAUAUUUACAAAAAUGAAAUCAUUGUUAUGAUCUCUGUAAAAUAGUUUAUCGGUGUGCUACCAUUAUAUAUAAUAUAUAUAUAAUGGUGUAUGAUCACAAAUCAUUUGUGAGACAUUAAUCAAAUGUCAAGAAAGUCCAUAUCUUUUCACUUGAAAUAUAUGUAAUUUCUCACAAACUAAAAGAAAAAGAUGUAUAGAAGCUACAAAAGUCUAAUGUGCAAAGGAGGCUCAAAUCUGACUUUGGUUUUGUCCUUAUUUUUUAGUGUAAAAAUCACUCUGCUGCAUUCCAUACCAUUGCAGACCUAUGCAUUUAUAUUGUGGUAUGUAUUUACAAACUAGGUUGGAACAUUUUCAGUGUGGCAACCAUUUCAUAGUAAAACUGAAAACUCUUCUCUCUUUUUAAUUCACUUUUCCACAGAUAGUGAUGCUCAUGUGCCAACUAUGAUCGCAUUCACAACGAGUUGUUAAAUUGUUAAGAGGCUAAAUUGUUUCUGAAAAUACUACAGACCCAGUGAUUGUUGCUUUUUGUCAAGGGGCCCAAUACUGAUGCUGGACUCCAGCUUCCUAUUAUAUAUAUGUUAAUUAUAUAGGAAUUACUUAACAUAAAAAAAGUCAGAUUGUGCUUUGCUAUGUGCAGAACCUGAAUAUCUCUUUAAGACUUGGACAAUUAAUUCCAGACAUUGUUGUUCCAAUCUUUAAAAAAUCAUUAAUCACACAACUGUAACUGGCAAUCACUGUUCUGUAUAUUUAGCAGUUUAUCAGAAAACAAUACUUUUUUCUUACUUGUAGAUAGAAAAAUUAGCAGAAGUUCCUUGAAGGCUUUAUAUAGUAAUUAACAAAACAAUGAGGUACUACUUUUCAUUGGAAUUCCCAUAGUAUUUUGAUUAGAUUUCUUAUAUAUAUUGUUGUAUUGUCUUCCUCCCUCUUACCUACCACAUUCAUUUAGUAUAUUUUGAACAUGUUUCAUAUUUAUAAGUUUGAACUUCCCCAUCGCUGGUAAAACCUGGGUAAAGUUUGUCAUGAUAUUUAUUUAACACAGUGGCAAAGAUUAUGUCAAGUCGUCAUUAAUAAGACUGACACUGGUAAGCUGCAGUAAUGCCACGAUCCAUUCUUAAGUUUAUUUUCAAGUGCACAUAACUAUAUUACAUUGACUCUUUCUGCAUAUCAUUUCCAUUGUUAUAGAUGUUUAAAGGUAUUGGCAAAAUGUCAGAUUCUGCAUUAACACUAAAACAAAAAAGAUAAGCAAGUAUUAUGACAUAGUGGCCUGUAGUCGAGCAUAACUAUACUUGCCAAAAAAAGAAAGGCAUGUUAUGUCUAUGGUUAUCAUAAACUUUUUCAUACAAUAGUGUCGCCUUAAGAUAAGUUUCUUCAACCAUUGAUAUACAAAUUAAAUUUCACAUAUAACGUACAGAAAUUGGAUUACUAUUUGUUGUACGUGAAUUUUAUUUUGUAUAUCAACAGGUUAGUAAACUCUUACCUUAUCUAGGGUAGUAAAUUAUUCAGUAACAUAUGUGCUCUCCCCUGGCUGCAAUACAGGCCAGUGCCCUCCUCUUCAUAGAUUGUACAACCUUGAUUGGAGAAACCGGGCAUCCUUCUCCAUGCUUCUACCAUUACAACACUUAUCUCUAUAUUGGUGGUAGCCUGCAGCUUGUGGUUAUGAAGUUGUCUGCCCACUGUGCCCCAGGCAUGCACAAUGGCAGACAUGUCUGGAUCUGCUCCUGCUGCAGGUAGUAUGCCUAUGAUAUCCCUGCAGUAUAAGAAUGAGUGUUUUGCUGCUGGACCAAGUGUAGGGUUGGGUUUUGAUGCAUGGAUGGUACAACGGCUAUCCUUAGGCCUUCAUAUCUGUACCGCUGGCCAGUCAGAUUUCCACCAAACACCACUAGUUCUGAGUGGAAAUUGACACUAGUCUCACGCCCAACCAAACCAUAACACUAGGCCAUCCCUGCUUUGAGUGUGCCAAUGGGACAACCCCUGUCCAGUUCAGACAGCCAUGGCAUAAUGUCAGCACGGAAUUUAGUCUCUUAAACUUGGUUUUCUGAUUCUUGUGUCCACUAGCAUUGAAUUUGUAAAAGUGAUUUCUGCAAGACUUUUGUCCAAAUUUGUGUUUAGAUGAUCAUGAGAUUUCUGAAAAAAUGAAGCUAGCCAUUGUCUGGAAUCACUAAAGCAUAUUAGUACUCUACUGAAAGGCUAUAUUUGGAUAUUUUGAAG